UGCAUGGCUCUGUCGGUAGAACAUGAGACUCUUAAGCACAGGGUUGUGGGUUCGAGCCCCACGCUCGGCAAAA